rnacentral:rRNA from 1 species
AGCAUAUCAAUAAGCGGAGGAAAAGAAACCAACAGGGAUUGCCCUAGUAACGGCGAGUGAAGCGGCAACAGCUCAAAUUUGAAAUCUGGCCUCGGGCCCGAGUUGUAAUUUGCAGAGGAUGCUUUUGGCGCGGUGCCUUCCGAGUUCCCUGGAACGGGACGCCACAGAGGGUGAGAGCCCCGUAUGGUCGGACACCAAGCCUUUGCAAAGCUCCUUCGACGAGUCGAGUAGUUUGGGAAUGCUGCUCAAAAUGGGAGGUAAAUCUCUUCUAAAGCUAAAUACCGGCCAGAGACCGAUAGCGCACAAGUAGAGUGAUCGAAAGAUGAAAAGCACCUUGAAAAGGGGGUUAAACAGUACGUGAAAUUGUUGAAAGGGAAGGGCUCGUGACCAGACUUGUGCCAGGCGGCUCAUCCGGCGUUCUCGUCGGUGCACUCCGCCUGGCUCAGGCCAGCAUCGGUUCUUGCCGGGGGAUAAGAGCUUCGGGAACGUGGCCCCCUUCGGGGGGUGUUAUAGCCCGUUGCACGAUGCCCUGGCGGGGACCGAGGUUCGCGCUCCGCAAGGAUGCUGGCGUAAUGGUCACCAACCACCCGUCUUGAAACACGGACCAAGGAGUCGUCCAUCAGAGCGAGCGUUUGGGUGUAAAACCCGCACGCGUAAUGAAAGUGAACGCAGGUGAGAGCUUCGGCGCAUCAUCGACCGAUCCUGAUGUCUUCGGAUGGAUUUGAGUAAGAGUUUUGCUGGACGGACCCGAAAGACAGUGAACUAUGCUUGUAUAGGGUGAAGCCAGAGGAAACUCUGGUGGAGGCUCGCAGCGGUUCUGACGUGCAAAUCGAUCGUCAAAUAUGAGCAUGGGGGCGAAAGACUAAUCGAACUGUCUAGUAGCUGGUUACCGCCGAA